GACGAACGCUGGCGGCGUGCUUAACACAUGCAAGUCGAACGGAAAGGCCUUUUUGGGGGUACUCGAGUGGCGAACGGGUGAGUAACACGUGGGUGAUCUGCCCUGCACUCUGGGAUAAGCCUGGGAAACUGGGUCUAAUACCGGAUAGGACCGCACUCUAGUGUGUGUGGUGGAGAGUUUUUUCGGUGUAGGAUGAGCCCGCGGCCUAUCAGCUUGUUGGUGGGGUAAUGGCGUACCAAGGCGGCGACGGGUAGCCGGACUCUGAGGGUGGUCGGACACAUUGGGACUGAGAUACGGCCCAGACUCCUACGGGAGGCAGCAGUGGGGAAGAUUGCACAAUGGGCGCAAGCCUGAUGCAGCGACGCCGCGUGGGGGAUGACGGCCUUCGGGUUGUAAACUCCUUUCGCCAGGGACGAAGCGUUUUGUGACGGUACCUGGAGAAGAAGCACCGGCUAACUACGUG
rnacentral:rRNA from 1 species